GCAUUGGUGGCUCAGUGGUAGAAUUCUUGCCUUGCAUGUCGGAGACACAGGUUUGAUUCCUGGCCAGUGCA
rnacentral:tRNA from 1 species